GCAACACCACUAAGCAAGUUGCACCACCAAGCAAGCAGCACCAUGAAGACCAAGGAGCUCUCGAAACAGGCCUCAUUGGGAUCUUCAGGCUUUCACACCUCAGCUGGUUAGUCAGGCUCCCAUGGCUUAGCCGGCUUGUCGGGCUCCCACGCCUCACCCGGCUCAUUGAGCUUCCACGCCAUAGCCGGCUCGUCCAGUGCCCAUCGCUCGGCCAGAAGGGGGCACUGUCACGCCUGCUCCGGCUUCCCCUCUCUGGCACUCAAGGGCACCAGUCUGCCCUUCUUUACCCACACCUGUCACCAUCAUUACCCGCAUCUGCACUCAUUCGACUCACCUGGACUCCUUCACGUUUUGUUUGCCUUCCCUAUAUCUGUCUGUUACCUAUGUUUCGUCCCCAUGUCAGCAUUAUUGUCAUUUUGUUUUCCCCUGUCCAGACGCUGUGCUUAUUCUGUUCUUGUCCGUGUUUCAUUAAAUGUUCAAUCCCUGUA